rnacentral:lncRNA from 1 species
AUAAAACAAGUACUUAAGCAGAAAAUAAAAUAUAUGAUAUCGAUUUUAGUUUUGCAAAAUAUGUAAGUUUUUAUUCGAAAUUUCCUAAUAAAUAACAAAGUAUGCAAUCAUGCUGCUGAAUAUUUAAAAAACAAUGAUAAGUAUUCUAUGAUCAAUGCUUGAUUAGUUGUUUUAUGGUGAUAGUACUAACGACCAAGUUUUAAAAAAUCGGUGACCUUAUCCGGAAUCGGGCUAUCCAAAUCGAGAAUAGCCCAGAACGCUCCGGAUUAGGCCAAAAAACAGGAUUCGAGUGGUUUCAAAUAGUAGAAUCACCGAUUUUUUUGCGGAACUACCAAUUCUUCAUCAAGUCCACCUGAUUCUUGACCGAUUACGACCGAUUCUUCAUCGAUUCCGACCGAUUCUUCACCGAGUCAAGCGAAAAAAAAGGAUGAAAAAGUUUUUCUUGAAUUAUUUUUUUAUAAAAAUUGAAACAAAAAUUACCAAUUCUGUCUAUUCUUCCAAUCCGAUCCACUGAUUCACCCGAUCUGUCAUGGGUAUGGGUGUGAUCAAUGUGAGUCACCGACCUGUUUUUUUAAACUUUGCUAAUGACCAUUCAUUUUUCUAUGAUCACUGGAUCAUAGUAUAUUUUACCAAAUUUCAAAGGGAAAUUAUCAAAAAAG